UACAAAAAAUACAAAAAAUUAGCUGGGCAUGGUGGCAGCCACCUGUAAUCCCAGCUACUUGGGAGGCUGAGGCAGGAGAAUCGCCUGAACCCGGGAAGUGGAAGUUGCAGUGAGCCGAGAUUGCACCAUUGCACUCCAGGCUGGGCAACAAGAGUGAAACUCCAUCUAAUAAAAUAAAUAAAUUAAUUAAUUAAUUAAAUAAAACAAAAAACCAAAUUGCCACAAGCUGAGUGGCUUAAGACAACACAAAUUUAUCAUUUUACAGUUCUGGAGGUCAGAACUCUAAGGGCCUCCCUGGGCUAAAAUCAAGGCAUCAGCAGAGCUGUGUUCCUUCCUGCAGGCCCUACAGGAGAAUUCAUUUUCCUGCCUUUUCCAGGUGAAAGCUGCUCACAUUCCUUGGCUUGUAACUCCCUUUCAUUUUCAAAGCCAGCAAUGGCUGGUGGAGUCUUUCUCACAUCACAUCACAUCUUCUGCCCCCUGCUUCCACGUUUAAGGACACUUGUAAAUUACGUUGGGUCCGCCGAUGAUCCAGGGUAAUCUCCUCAUUUUACAUUAGCAACUGUAAUUCCACCUGCAAUCUUUAUUCCCUUUUGCCAGGAAACAACAUAUUGAUAGGCUCCUGAGAUUACGACAUAGACAUCUUUGGGGAUACAUUAUUCUGCUACCAAAAUUUUUGUUUCAAUUUUAGAUUGGAACCAAAAAUGGAAAGGCCCUGAAUGUCAGGAUUGUCAUCCACAUUCUUCAUCCAGGACAGAAAAUACAACGUCUAUUUUCAGAUUAAAGAUGGUUUCAGUUCAAAUAUUUUCUUGCUUUUAGCUAGAAUUAUAGCAAUUCAGUCUAGUAGCCCAGAUUGUCUCAUACUGAUUGGGUGUUCUGCUUGACAGUUCUAGAUGCCUUUGAUUAAUAAAACAUGGGGAAAGAAAUUAAAUAUUGAUAAAUGUAGUUCGGUGCAUUCAGCUUUUCAAAACACAGGGCCUUUUGGGAGGGAAAACCAUAAAAGGGGAUCUCAGUGCUGGAAAGAUUGGGAACCACUGCCUUAAAAAAUAUGGCCUCUGAUUAUUCCAGUUGGUCUUACUUGUAUAUAUGGCAUUUUUCUCUAUUACUGAUAGAUCUCUAGGGUUGGAGUAUGAAAGAUUUGGAAAAGACUUUUUAAAAUUGCUUUGUCGAAUAUGUUUUAUCUUUCAACUUGUUUAUGGUUUGAUCAAUAAUUCAUUCCUUAGCAUCUGUGUCUUAAAGACUAUCUUGUCUGUUGUCUUUAUGAAUGAUGAAUUAUGAUAUUGGGAGAACAAAAUACAUUCUUUUUAAAGCACAGCAUCUCAAAUGAAAUGCCCAGAAUUUAUAGUGUGUAGAUAACAACAAAAAAAUGACUUAAAGCCGCGAAACAGGAAGAGGGAUGAAAUAUUUGAUAAAGCAGGAAGUACAAAUAAUAUAACAGAAAAUCCAUCUGGACUUGGGCACUGAGCUGUUCAGAUGGCCUUUAUUUAUUUGCUUAGCCAAUUUGAAGAUUCUCCCUUUAAAAUACCAUUUCAAUUAAAAUGUUCUACCAUGAACUACUGGAGCAUAAGUUCACCCAGCUGUUAACCACACCCAGCACAGAUACCUUUCCAUUUUAGGUGUUUGUAUGGAAUAUAUUUUUCUCAAACUCCUAGUGCUUACCUUUCUGUUUUAAAUAAAGAAAGGGUGAAAAGACAGAACAAACCAGUUAUGUGGAGAGAAAAACUUAGGCACAGAGAGAAGUGUCAUUUGAACACAGACUCUGGCCUGUGCUGCAGUUUUUCUUUCUUUCUUUCUUUUUUUCUUUUUUGAGACGGAGUCUUGUCGCCCAGGUUGGAGGGCAGUGGUGCGAUCUCGGCUCACUGCGAGCUUCACCUCCCGGGUUCCUCCUGCCUCAGCCUCCCAAGUAGCUGGGACUACAGGCACCCACCACCACGUCCAGCUAAUUUUUUGUAUCUUUAGUAGAAACAGGGUUUCACCGUGUUAGCCAGGAUGGUCUUGAUCUCCUGACCUUGUGAUCUUCCCACCUCAGCUUCCCAAAGUGCUGGGAUUACAGGUGUGAGCCACCGUGCGCGGCCCCCUUGUGCUGCAGUUUUUAACACAUUGCAGCUAACACUUACUGAGCACUGACCCUGUGUCAGGCGUUGUGCAGAACUGAUAAUCCUCACAGCCACUCUAUGAGAUGUGCACUAUUAGACUUAUUUCUGAUGGAGAAACUGAGGCUUAGAGAGGUUAAUUCACUUGUAGAAGCUCACACGAUUAGUGAGCGAAGGAGCAGAGAGUCAAUCUCCACGCUGGCUUUAAAAAAAACACAGAUAGAGUCAUCUCAUUCUCCUACUUUGUAAACAUUAUUUUUUUUAACCUCACAAUAUUGGGAUUCUCCACCCUGGCUUCAUGGUAGAAUCAUUUGGGGUCUUUUUACAAAAUACCAUUGCCUAGAAUCCACCCACGACUACUUAAAAAGAACAAUAAUAACAACGCUAAUGACAGCCAACAUUACAUUGGGCUUACUCUGUGCUCAAUAUAAGUGUUACUAUGUGCCAAGGCUUUCUUUAACAUAUAUGGACACACACAUGCACACAUAUAUUCUCUCUAAUAUAUAUAACACUAACAUAUACAUAUAUUCAAAUGAGGGUGUCUCUCAAUAUAUUCUCAUUUAAUCCUCAAAAUAAACCUUGGAUGAAGAUACCAUUGAGUAUCACCAAUUUACAAAUGGGGAAGGUGAGACUCAGAAGAUUUAAAAGCCUAGCUCAUAUGAUUCAAGAGACAUGCAAAAAAAAAAAAAAAAAAAAAAAAAGCCUAGCUCACAAUUAUCUGGCUAGCAACUGGCCAAACUGGGAUUCUGAUCCCAGGAAGUUUGGCUGUGUACAGAAUCUGUACUUGUUGCUGGUAACCUCUGGCAGAUGCUAGAGAGCCAACCUACUUAAAAAAAAAAGUCAAAAAGGAAGAGUAAAACAUUUGUCCUGUGUUUACAUAUAUAAACUAUACCUCAGGUUAACUAGUAGAUGAGAAGAAUCUCUCUCUUGAACAGAAUUUUAGCUAAUAAAUGAAUGAGUGAUAGAAUUAGAAUAUUAUCAUUUUGCAGCCUCUGAUGAAAUAAUAAACCUAGACCAUGACCAUCAGUGGAUGCCAACUUCUCAAAAAAGAGAUGUCCAGGCUUUACGUUCUUCCUGAUAGAAGCAUACAUUACCUCUUAUGAAGGAUUAUUUUUUCUUUCUUUCUUUCUUUUUUUUUUUGUGUGUGUGUGAGAUGGAGACUUGCUCUGUCACCCAGGCUGGAGUGCAGUGGCGCGAUCUUGGUUCACUGCAACCUCCGCCUCCCAGGUGUGAGUGAUUCUCCUGCCUCAGCCUCACGAGUAGCUGGGAUUGCAGGCACCUGCCAUUAUGCCCGGCUAAUUUUUGUGUUUUCAGUAGAGACGGGGUUUCACCAUGUUGGUCAGGCUGGUCUCAAACUCCUAACCUCAAGUAAUCCGCCUACCUCAGCCUCCCAAAGUGCUGGAACUACAGGUAUGAGCCACCGCUCCUGGAGCUUAUGAAGGCUUCUUGCUAGAAAAGUCAAAUCUCUUCAAGCUUCUAGAAUCAAAUUCCAUUUUCAGAUAACACAAGAGACCAGAGGAACAUGUUAUAUGACACCUGGGGAUGUAAUCAGCAAAAUCCAGACUGGGGAACUCAACAGACAGAAGACUUCAUUUCCAUCACACAUAAAUAGAGACAAUGAGAGAGAGGACUUAUAGAUCAAAAGAUUCAUAUAAACUAAUUACAAUGUAUGUGUACAUCAUAUUUGGAUUCCGAUUUGAUAGCAUAUCUGUUAAAAAAAUAAACAUUGGGGAAAUUUGAACAUUCACUGGAUGCUUGAUGUCAUUAAAGUCAUUUAAAUUUCUUGUUUCUUUGUGUUUUUUGUUUGUUUCUUCAUUUGUUUUUAGAGACAGGGUCGACCCUCCUGCCUCAGCCUCCUGAGUAGCUAGGACUACACAGACAUACCACCACACUCUGCUGACUUUAUUGUGUAGAGAUGGAGCAACUUGCUAUGUUUUCCAGGCUGGUCUGGGACUCCUGGCCUCAAGCCAUCUCCCUGCCUCCACUUCCCGAAGUUCUGGGAUCACAAGUGUGAGCCCCUGCACCUGGCUUAACUUUCAAGAAAGUGUUUCUUUCCUCCCUUCCUUCCUUCAUUCAGAUGGGGUCUCACUCUGUUGCCCAGGCUAGAGUGCAGUGGCACUAUUACAGCUCGCUGAAGCCUCAACUCCCCAGGCUCAAGCAAUCCUCCCACCUCAGCCUCCUGAGUGAGUAGCUGAGGCUGCACGUGUGUGCCACAACAACCAGCUAAUAAGAAAGCGUUUCCAACUGUUUUUUUGUCUUCCACUCAUGCCUUGCAGGAGAUCCAUAGAAUUCCUCUUACUAAUGUCACUUAAGAGUGAGAAAUAUAAGUCCCGGAGAGGUUAAACAACUUGCCUAAGAACAGGGAGGAUGAUAGUAGCAGAAGGAGUUGCUCCAUUCUUUCUGGAAUCCAUUAACCAAAAGAAAAUCCAUGUUCUUUAAUCAUGUCACAUAACAAGGAGUUUGUUGCCCAUAGAUAAGAGGGAGAAAGGUGGUAAACAUAACAGGACAAAUAUUUAAAAUGGCAGAAGAAAAAUUAGGGUUUUAGAAACAAGAAGAAAAGGGCUAAAUCGGCAUUUUAAAAAUAAAUGGUCUUAGACUGCUG
rnacentral:lncRNA from 1 species